UACAGAGGUCCCAAGCGUUGUUCGGAUUCACUGGGCGUAAAGGGUGCGUAGGCGGUCGGGUAAGUCUGACGUGAAAUCUCCAAGCCUAACUUGGAACUGCGUUGGAUGACUCUCCGGCUAGAGGAAUGGAGGGGAGGACUGGAAGUAACUUGGUGUAGCAGUGAAAUGACGUAGAUAUCAAGUGGAACACCAGUGGCGAAGGCGACACCCUGGACUCAUACUGACACUGAGGUGCGAAAGCGUGGGGAGCAAACAGG
rnacentral:rRNA from 1 species